GAUGAAGAACGUAGCGAAAUGCGGUACUUGGUGUGAAUUGCAGAAUCCCGUGAACCAUCGAGUCUUUGAACGCAAGUUGCGCCCGAAGCCACUAGGCCGAGGGCACGCCUGCCUGGGCGUCACACGCCGUUGCCCCCCCAUCUACUCCUUCGGGAUUGCGGGGGGGCGGAUGAUGGCCUCCUGUGCGCCUAGCCGCGCGGUUGGCAUAAAUACCAAGUCCUCGGCGACGCACGCCACGACAAUCGGUGGUUGCGAAACCUCGGUUGCCCGUCGUGUGCGUUCGUCGCGCAUCGAGGGCUCGAAAAAAUGCUCGGCUCCGGCUGGGCUUUCAACGCGACCCCAGGUCAGGCGGGGUUACCCGCUGAAUUUAAGCAUAUCAAUAAGCGGAGGA
rnacentral:misc_RNA from 1 species